GGCAAAGACAGCCUCCCCUGAGACACACAGAAGGAGCGGAAGAGUGGAGGAGACACAGGAAAAGACACGGACAACAAGGAAUCUGUAAAGCAGCAGCUUUUGAAAAGGGUGCAGAAUGUGACAACCCCCAAGAAGAAGCAGGGAGCAACUCCUUCAAGGAAGAGGCCACAGAGAGCUUUGAGAGCAGCCAGGAGACGUCCAGUGACGACACAGAUGAGUCCACCUGCUCAACUUUGAUCUUAGAAAGAUCACCACAAUCUAGAUGCAACACCCCAGAGGUUGAAUGGUUGGAUGUAUCCGAAACUACUGAGAGCCAAAAGAACCAGGCAAGACAUUAUAAAACUCUUCAGGAGAUAUACAAAACCAAGACCAGACUCA